UACCCUGGUAGUCCACGCCGUAAACGAUGAGUGCUAAGUGUUAGGGGGUUUCCGCCCCUUAGUGCUGCAGCUAACGCAUUAAGCACUCCGCCUGGGGAGUACGACCGCAAGGUUGAAACUCAAAGGAAUUGACGGGGGCCCGCACAAGCGGUGGAGCAUGUGGUUUAAUUCGAAGCAACGCGAAGAACCUUACCAGGUCUUGACAUCCUUUGACCACUCUGGAGACAGAGCUUUCCCUUCGGGGACAAAGUGACAGGUGGUGCAUGGUUGUCGUCAGCUCGUGUCGUGAGAUGUUGGGUUAAGUCCCGCAACGAGCGCAACCCUUGAUUUUAGUUGCCAGCAUUUAGUUGGGCACUCUAAAGUGACUGCCGGUGCAAGCCGGAGGAAGGUGGGGAUGACGUCAAAUCAUCAUGCCCCUUAUGACCUGGGCUACACACGUGCUACAAUGGAUAGUACAAAGGGUCGCGAAGCCGCGAGGUGGAGCUAAUCCCAUAAAACUAUUCUCAGUUCGGAUUGUAGGCUGCAACUCGCCUACAUGAAGCCGGAAUCGCUAGUAAUCGUGGAUCAGCAUGCCACGGUGAAUACGUUCCCGGGCCUUGUACACACCGCCCGUCACACCACGAGAGUUUGUAACACCCGAAGUCGGUAGGGUAACCUUUAUGGAGCCAGCCGCCGAAGGUGGGACAGAUAAUUGGGGUGAAGUCGUAACAAGGUAGCCGUAUCGGAAGGUGCGGCUGGAUCACCUCCUUUCUAAGGAA
rnacentral:rRNA from 1 species